CGGCGAGUGAAGCGGCAACAGCUCAAAUUUGAAAUCUGGCUCUUUCAGGGUCCGAGUUGUAAUUUGCAGAGGGCGCUUUGGCUUUGGCAGCGGUCCAAGUUCUUUGGAACAGGACGUCACAGAGGGUGAGAAUCCCGUACGUGGUCGCUAGCCUUGGCCGUGUAAAGCCCCUUCGACGAGUCGAGUUGUUUGGGAAUGCAGCUCUAAAUGGGAGGUAAAUUUCUUCUAAAGCUAAAUACUGGCCAGAGACCGAUAGCGCACAAGUAGAGUGAUCGAAAGAUGAAAAGCACUUUGGAAAGAGAGUCAAAUAGCACGUGAAAUUGUUGAAAGGGAAGCGCUUGCAGCCAGACUUGCCUGUAGUUGCUUAUCCGGACUUUUGUCCGGUGCACUCUUCUGCGGGCAGGCCAGCAUCAGUUUGGGCGGUUGGAUAAAGGUCUCUAUCACGUACCUCUCUUCGGGGAGGCCUUAUAGGGGAGACGUCAUGCAACCAGCCUGGACUGAGGUCCGCGCAUCUGCUAGGAUGCUGGCGUAAUGGCUGUAAGCGGCCCGUCUUGAAACACGGACCAAGGAGUCUAACAUCUAUGCGAGUGUUUGGGUGUCAAGCCCAGACGCGUAAUGAAAGUGAACGGAGGUGGGAACCCUUUGGGUGCACCAUCGACCGAUCCUGAUGUCUUCGGAUGGAUUUGAGUAAGAGCAUGGCUGUUGGGACCCGAAAGAUGGUGAACUAUGCUUGAAUAGGGUGAAGCCAGAGGAAACUCUGGUGGAGGCUCGCAGCGGUUCUGACGUGCAAAUCGAUCGUCAAAUUUGGGCAUAGGG
rnacentral:rRNA from 1 species